rnacentral:lncRNA from 1 species
UAAGUUAAAUUAUAAUAAAAAAUCAUUUGGGCACAAUUUGAACAAAAAUGCUACUAUUCACUUAUCAUUAUGUAAUGCCUAAGGUUCUUGCCUAGCCACGCCAAAGAAUUUGUGUGGCAGCUGACCGUGGUGAGGGAUAGAGACACAGACCGAGAGAGAAAAAGGCUGUAGGCUUUAUUGAGCAGAUUGAAAGGACAAAGCUUCCACAGUGUGGAAGGGGUCCCGAGCGGGUAGCCAGAGUUAGAUUAUGUGACUGCCUUUUAAACUCUUUAAGGCCGGAAAUACGUGUGGCGAGAUGUUACCAGAGCGAGAAACAAAGGCAAUUAACCGUUUGUAACAUGUCUUAGAUCUUGAGGAAAACUGGAAUUGCAACUUAGGUUUUAUCUACUUUAUGAACUUGCAGCAGCAUGGCAAAGGAGACGGGAUCUUACAGGACUUUGUUACAAAUUUCAAGUGAACCUGGAUAUUUCAAAUAAUCUUUCUUUUGCCGUAAAUUACAAGAUUUUCCAGUUUGACCACUGGCGCUUAACCUAACUACAUACUGAAGGCACUUCAAGCUGGUGUGGGUGGACGUUCUUUCCUGUUGAAAAGAGAACAAAACCCUCAACAAGGAGCAGCUGGAGACAAACUUGGAGCGAGGAAAAGCAGAAAGUGUUGCGAAGCAUAAUCAUUUAAAUCACAGAUUAAGUCAACAUAAUAGCAGAGAAAAUGCAGGAAAUUCAAAAUGUUUGACUAUAGUGGCAACCUCACAGAGUCUUUUCUUUGGGAUCAACAGAGAAAAUGAGCUAAAUGAAUACAAUUUUAUAUCUCCUGACAUAGAAGUAAAGGAUUCAUGAGCAAAUGUUUUAUUUUAUACUAUAAUUUUUAAAAUAUUUCCUUUAAAUACAAAGCCUUAACCAACAAAAUGUAACCAUUAGCUUCAUGAAAAACAAUAAAA